rnacentral:rRNA from 1 species
CGUCUAUAUACGUAUAGCAUAUCAAUAAGCGGAGGAAAAGAAACUAACUAGGAUUCCCUCAGUAACGGCGAGUGAAGCGGGAAGAGCUCAAAUUUGAAAUCUUCAAGGUUCUACCUUGACGAAUUGUAGUUUAAAGAAGUGUUUUCUGUUGAAGUUUCGGUAAAAGUUCUUUGGAAUAGGACAUCAUAGAGGGUGAGAAUCCCGUAUUUGACCAGUUAUUUCCAGCUGUGUGAUACACUUUCAAAGAGUCGGAUUGUGUGGGAAUGCAGUCCAAAAUGGGUGGUAAAUUUCAUCUAAAGCUAAAUACUGGCGAGAGACCGAUAGCGAACAAGUACCGUGAGGGAAAGAUGAAAAGAACUUUGAAAAGAGAGUUAAACAGUACGUGAAAUUGUCAAAAGGGAAGCGUUUGACACCAGUGUUGUUUUCUCGAAAAUCAAUUAAAAAUGGCGGGAUUUUGUGUUGUAUUGACUUUAUCAGCUUUCUGCACUUUUUUCCUGUCUUUUUUAAUGCACUUUUCGUUUAACAAGUCAACAUCAAUUUCUUUUGUUGUAAAAGAGUCAUUGGAAGGUGGCUUUCUUUUCGGAGAAAGUGUUUAUAGCCUUUGACUUCUGCAAUCGGAGAGAUUGAGGUCUGCAGCGUAGAUCCUUCGGGGUUAGAUACAUUUGUGCUAAGUUAUAGCCUUUCAUAGACAACUUGUUGACUAUGAUCAGUCAUGUAGCUUACUCGCUUAUGCUAUUUUACCUACGCUUAGGAUGUUGAUCUGUAGUGCGUGCGC